rnacentral:misc_RNA from 1 species
UGAAGUGCGAUAACUAGUGUGAAUUGCAUUACUUUGUGAAUCAUCGAGUCUUUGAACGCAACUUGCACCGGGGCGACCCGGUAUGUCUGUUUGAGCAUUGUGCAAUAUUAGUGUGCUCUGUAGUGUGUGUGUACGCAUUCAUGUUACAGGCAACGCGAGAUGGGGCGCGUAGCAAUACGGCCCCUAAAUGGAGAUGCGCUGCGGCCCAGUGCCGACGACCAGCGGGCGAUGGUGAAGAGCAGGUGCCUUUAGUUGCCUCGUUGGUUGUCGUUGGGUGCUGGGUUGCGGGUGUAGACGGUAGCUGACGCGCGAGCUUCAGCAACACAACUACUCCGGUAGUUCUUCCAAAGCAAUCUCAAAUCAGACAAGAGUACCCGCUGAACUUAA